AGUGUGUGUGUGUGGGAAAGGCUGUGUAAUAUAAAAACUCUAAAUCAUUAUUUGGUAUAUAUACUGUCAGUAAGUGAGUAUUGUGCAAUGUUUAUGUUAUUCAUAUCUUUAUAUACUCCAUUUUUUUUUUAGAUUAUGGCACCAAAGAAGCUAAUUAUGUUGAGUGAAAAUCACCCGGAAUCACAAAGACAAACAUGAUGCAGGAAUUGCAUGCCAAUGAAGACAGAAGAGGAAUCCUACUGUUGCAUGGAGCUAUCAAAUGUCA